AUGGGAAACCACUUUGGGGAGGGUGUUUUUGGUCACAGAGAAGUAGGACGAGAGCUCUGUGUGGAGAUCACUUAUCAGAAUUACAACCUCCUCCAUUUGGCUCGACGGACGAAGUACCGGAUAGAACUCCUGGGACAAUGGAGUGAGGAGUUUGAGGCUUUGUGUUGCCCAAGAGCCUGUGGCAGUCAUAGCAUAUCUUUGGAACAGGAGCCUGAAUCAGUUCAAGUCAUUACCCGGGAGCAGCUGGGGCUAAGCACCAGAUGUGGGAAUCUUCGGUUGCUGUCUCGGAUUUGCCUGCCACGGAAGGCUGCAGAUCCUUGGAGGGUUGAGGAUGGAUUGAGAAGAUUCCCUCCCUGUCCCCAGCCAGGUGACCCCAGGAGGCCAGGCUGCCAUCAUGUAGGAGGUCUCUGGUUAUCUCAGGGAAAGCUCGGAAAAUUGGAGAAUGGUUCAGCUGGGGAAAUCCAGUUACCCCCAGCACAGAAAUUCCCUCACCCAAUGACUGUGACCAUCCUACAGCUGCUGACAGACUACCGGGAUGAUAAUGAUGUUGAGUAGAGCCAGAGGAGUCCACACAAUGGCGAAACCUUCCCUGAACUGCGACCUUGUCAACUGGCAUUUGCUUACUAUGCUGGGAGAUGAGCAGGAAAGACUGGGCAACUAGAGGUAAAAGGUCACAUGGUUUGUAUUAAUAGCUGGGUCGAGGGUGACCGCUCCUGAUCCUGCUGUACUCUGAACAAGUAGAUCGCUCAAUAAAUACCACUGAUUGAUGUCACAUACAUCACACCAGCCAUGCAGAGAAACAUGGUGAAAACACAGACAUCAUUCUCCAGAAGUAUGGGCAUUUUGGGUGAUUCUAGAAUGGUUGCCUCGGGUGGAUCCUGAAUCCCUUACCCCCGCCUGCUCCAGAGCCUUUUCAUUCCCUUCCCAGGUCUGUGUGACAUCUGCCGCAGGCUCCAAGCCACAGCAGAGAGAGGCUUGUGCCAAAAAUAAAAAUCACUGGGCAUGAGAACACCUGAUACCUUAGCAGAGCUGGACAGGGGACAGGGCAGCCGGAUGAAAUGGGAUGACUGGCCCCCCUUGCCUGGCCCCCCUAGCUGGGACCCUGUCCUGGCAGACCAGGGAAACUUUGGAGCAAAGAAUUCAUGGUGCAUAGACACAUGGUUGCCCUGGGCAAUAGUCGGGGCACAAUGAUUUCAUUUCACCUGUGGGUUGGUGAAGGGUUUCCUUACUGACAGUGUGGGGAGCACCUAUUGAAUUCCUUUCUCUCUCUACUCCCUCACUUAGUCUCAUCCUCAGGGCUCACAGUAGGGGACAGGCCCAGCCUAGUCCCACCCUUGCUACAUGCCCCUGGGAGGUGCGAUUCAGGUGGGGGGAAGGGAUUUCAGGUCACUGGGGCAUGGUGGGGAGGAAGAGGGCUCAAAGUAAGCUUUCAAUAAAUACCAUUGAUUGUCUAACAGCUUGUUAUAACAGCUCCUGCUUCAAAGCCUAAGUGAUUCUUUCAGGAAUGUCCUCUCCUAAUUCUUCUCAUAUCUCUCUGGCCUCUCCUUCUCAGUGUUCUUCACAGGCUCCUCCUCUGCCACCCAUCCUCUAACUGUGGGAGUGCCUCAAGG
rnacentral:lncRNA from 1 species